rnacentral:rRNA from 1 species
UACAGAGGUGGCAAGCGUUGUUCGGAAUUACUGGGCGUAAAGGGCGCGUAGGCGGUUCGUUAAGUCCUGUGUGAAAUCCCCCGGCUCAACUGGGGAACUGCACAGGAAACUAGCGGGCUUGAGUUCGGGAGAGGGAAGCGGAAUUCCGGGUGUAGCGGUGAAAUGCGUAGAUAUCAGGAGGAACACCAAUGGCGAAGGCAGCUCGCUGGGACGUGACUGACGCUGAGACGCGAAAGCGUGGGGAGCAAACAGG